rnacentral:rRNA from 1 species
UUUGGUUAAGUUAGAAAGGGCGCACGGUGGAUGCCUUGACACUAGGAGUCGAUGAAGGACGGGACUAACGCCGAUAUGCUUCGGGGAGCUGUAAGUAAGCUUUGAUCCGAAGAUUUCCGAAUGGGGAAACCCACCAUACGUAAUGGUAUGGUAUCCUUAUCUGAAUACAUAGGGUAAGGAAGACAGACCCAGGGAACUGAAACAUCUAAGUACCUGGAGGAAGAGAAAGCAAAUGCGAUUUCCUGAGUAGCGGCGAGCGAAACGGAACAUAGCCCAAACCAAGAGGCUUGCCUCUUGGGGUUGUAGGACAUUCUAUACGGAGUUACAAAGGAACGAGGUAGACGAAGCGACCUGGAAAGGUCCGUCGUAGAGGGUAACAACCCCGUAGUCGAAACUUCGUUCUCUCUUGAAUGUAUCCUGAGUACGGCGGAACACGUGAAAUUCCGUCGGAAUCUGGGAGGACCAUCUCCCAAGGCUAAAUACUCCCUAGUGAUCGAUAGUGAACCAGUACCGUGAGGGAAAGGUGAAAAGCACCCCGGAAGGGGAGUGAAAGAGAUCCUGAAACCGUGUGCCUACAAAUAGUCAGAGCCCGUUAACGGGUGAUGGCGUGCCUUUUGUAGAAUGAACCGGCGAGUUACGAUCCCGUGCGAGGUUAAGCUGAAGAGGCGGAGCCGCAGCGAAAGCGAGUCUGAAUAGGGCGUUUAGUACGUGGUCGUAGACCCGAAACCAGGUGAUCUACCCAUGUCCAGGGUGAAGUUCAGGUAACACUGAAUGGAGGCCCGAACCCACGCACGUUGAAAAGUGCGGGGAUGAGGUGUGGGUAGCGGAGAAAUUCCAAUCGAACCUGGAGAUAGCUGGUUCUCCCCGAAAUAGCUUUAGGGCUAGCCUUAAGUGUAAGAGUCUUGGAGGUAGAGCACUGAUUGGACUAGGGGUCCUCAUCGGAUUACCGAAUUCAGUCAAACUCCGAAUGCCAAUGACUUAUCCUUAGGAGUCAGACUGCGAGUGAUAAGAUCCGUAGUCAAAAGGGAAACAGCCCAGACCGCCAGCUAAGGUCCCAAAGUGUGUAUUAAGUGGAAAAGGAUGUGGAGUUGCUUAGACAACUAGGAUGUUGGCUUAGAAGCAGCCACCAUUUAAAGAGUGCGUAAUAGCUCACUAGUCGAGUGACUCUGCGCCGAAAAUGUACCGGGGCUAAAUACACCACCGAAGCUGCGGAUUGAUACCAAUGGUAUCAGUGGUAGGGGAGCGUUCUAAGGACAGUGAAGUCAGACCGUAAGGACUGGUGGAGUGCUUAGAAGUGAGAAUGCCGGUAUGAGUAGCGAAAGACGGGUGAGAAUCCCGUCCACCGAAUGCCUAAGGUUUCCUGAGGAAGGCUCGUCCGCUCAGGGUUAGUCAGGACCUAAGCCGAGGCCGACAGGCGUAGGCGAUGGACAACAGGUUGAUAUUCCUGUACCACCUCUUUAUCGUUUGAGCAAUGGAGGGACGCAGAAGGAUAGAAGAAGCGUGCGAUUGGUUGUGCACGUCCAAGCAGUUAGGCUGAUAAGUAGGCAAAUCCGCUUAUCAUAAAGGCUGAGCUGUGAUGGGGAAGCUCCUUAUGGAGCGAAGUCUUUGAUUCCCCGCUGCCAAGAAAAGCUUCUAGCGAGAUAAAAGGUGCCUGUACCGCAAACCGACACAGGUAGGCGAGGAGAGAAUCCUAAGGUGUGCGAGAGAACUCUGGUUAAGGAACUCGGCAAAAUGACCCCGUAACUUCGGGAGAAGGGGUGCUUUCUUAACGGAAAGCCGCAGUGAAUAGGCCCAAGCGACUGUUUAGCAAAAACACAGCUCUCUGCGAAGCCGUAAGGCGAAGUAUAGGGGGUGACACCUGCCCGGUGCUGGAAGGUUAAGGAGAGGGGUUAGCGUAAGCGAAGCUCUGAACUGAAGCCCCAGUAAACGGCGGCCGUAACUAUAACGGUCCUAAGGUAGCGAAAUUCCUUGUCGGGUAAGUUCCGACCCGCACGAAAGGUGUAACGAUUUGGGCACUGUCUCAACCAGAGACUCGGUGAAAUUAUAGUACCUGUGAAGAUGCAGGUUACCCGCGACAGGACGGAAAGACCCCGUGGAGCUUUACUGUAGCCUGAUAUUGAAUUUUGGUACAGUUUGUACAGGAUAGGCGGGAGCCAUUGAAACCGGAGCGCUAGCUUCGGUGGAGGCGCUGGUGGGAUACCGCCCUGACUGUAUUGAAAUUCUAACCUACGGGUCUUAUCGACCCGGGAGACAGUGUCAGGUGGGCAGUUUGACUGGGGCGGUCGCCUCCUAAAGUGUAACGGAGGCGCCCAAAGGUUCCCUCAGAAUGGUUGGAAAUCAUUCGUAGAGUGCAAAGGCAUAAGGGAGCUUGACUGCGAGACCUACAAGUCGAGCAGGGACGAAAGUCGGGCUUAGUGAUCCGGUGGUUCCGCAUGGAAGGGCCAUCGCUCAACGGAUAAAAGCUACCCCGGGGAUAACAGGCUUAUCUCCCCAAGAGUCCACAUCGACGGGGAGGUUUGGCACCUCGAUGUCGGCUCAUCGCAUCCUGGGGCUGUAGUCGGUCCCAAGGGUUGGGCUGUUCGCCCAUUAAAGCGGUACGCGAGCUGGGUUCAGAACGUCGUGAGACAGUUCGGUCCCUAUCCGUCGUGGGCGUAGGAAAUUUGAGAGGAGCUGUCCUUAGUACGAGAGGACCGGGAUGGACGCACCGCUGGUGUACCAGUUGUUCUGCCAAGGGCAUAGCUGGGUAGCUAUGUGCGGAAGGGAUAAGUGCUGAAAGCAUCUAAGCAUGAAGCCCCCCUCAAGAUGAGAUUUCCCAUAGCGUAAGCUAGUAAGAUCCCUGAAAGAUGAUCAGGUUGAUAGGUUCGAGGUGGAAGCAUGGUGACAUGUGGAGCUGACGAAUACUAAUAGAUCGAGGACUUAACCAUAUAA